UGCACAGAGGCCAAACAAGCCAUAUCCCUGUUGCAUGUUCUGCGAGGAGGGUCAGGAAACUCUCCCGUUUCAAUGGGCAAACUCAGGAACAGGCCAUGAUGAGAAGAGGGCUUGUCAUCCGCAGCUACCUGGAGCACUAUGGCAAUAAUUUACAUCUUGAAAAAAUUGUUCCUGACUUCAAAAUACAGAGGAACUUAGAUUGCUAACUGGAGCCUGGAAUCUUAUUAAAGGUAAUUCUUGGAUAACGAAAAUAUUUUUCUUCCAUAGUUAUAGAGUUUAGAUUUUUAAGUAGUUUUACAUUUUUUUAAGCAAUUUAUACUUCUCAUGAAAACCUUUUUCAUUGAGACUGUGUAGUUUAUUAAGAUAAAGAUGGUUAUUGUAUUUCUUUAUAAUUAGAAAACUCCUCCAAAAAUAUUUUGUAAAUUCUCAUUGUCUUUUUUUCUUUUUUCUUUUUUCUUUUGAGACAGAGUCUCAUUCUGUUGCCCUGGCUGGAGUGCAGAGUCUCAAUCUUGGCUCAUUGCAACCUACUCCACAGGAUCUGUUCUCAAUGCUAGAUUUACAGAAGGCAGUGGUAAAUCUCAUUAAUCCACAAGGACCCAUGAGGGCUCAUCUGAC
rnacentral:lncRNA from 1 species